rnacentral:rRNA from 1 species
AACGAACGCUGGCGGCAGGCCUAACACAUGCAAGUCGAACGCCCUAGCAAUAGGGAGUGGCAGACGGGUGAGUAACACGUGGGAACGUGCCCUUCGGUUCGGAAUAACUCAGGGAAACUUGAGCUAAUACCGGAUAAGUGCGAGAGCAGAAAGAUUUAUCGCCGAAGGAUCGGCCCGCGUCCGAUUAGCUAGUUGGUGAGGUAAUGGCUCACCAAGGCGACGAUCGGUAGCUGGUCUGAGAGGAUGACCAGCCACACUGGGACUGAGACACGGCCCAGACUCCUACGGGAGGCAGCAGUGGGGAAUAUUGGACAAUGGGCGCAAGCCUGAUCCAGCCAUGCCGCGUGAGUGAUGAAGGCCCUAGGGUUGUAAAGCUCUUUCGCCAGGGACGAUAAUGACGGUACCUGGAUAAGAAGCCCCGGCUAACUUCGUGCCAGCCGCCGCCGUAA